GGGCGCAUGGUCUAGAGGUAUGAUAUUCGCUUUGCAUCCUGAAACUUUCAGGGAAAUGCCUGCGAAGGGUCCGGGGUUCAAUUCCCCGUGUGUCCA